UGGGCAUGCGUCCUAUUAGUUAGUUGGCGGGGUAACAGCCCACCAAGACGAUGAUAGGUAGGGGUUCUGAGAGGAAGGUCCCCCACAUUGGAACUGAGACACGGUCCAAACUCCUACGGGAGGCAGCAGUGAGGAAUAUUGGUCGAUGGGCGGAAGCCUGAACCAGCCAUGCCGCGUGAAGGAAUAAGGCCCUAUGGGUCGUAAACUUCUUUUGUAGUGGAGCAAUAAGGUCUACGCGUAGACCGACGAGAGUACAUUACGAAUAAGCAUCGGCUAACUCCGUACCAGCAGCCACGGUAAUACGGAGGAUGCAAGCGUUAUCCGGAUUUAUUGGGUUUAAAGGGUGCGUAGGCUGUUGCUCAAGUCAGCGGUGAAAGCCCGGGGCUCAACCCCGGAUGUGCCGUUGAUACUGAGUGGCUGGAAUACGGAUACCGUGGGAGGAAUGAGUAGUGUAGCGGUGAAAUGCAUAGAUAUUACUCAGAACACCGAUUGCGAAGGCAUCUCACGAAUCCGUCAUUGACGCUGAGGCACGAAAGCGUGGGGAUCAAACAGGAUUAGAUACCCUGGUAGUCCACGCAGUAAACGAUGAUGACUAACCGUUGGCGACAUACAGUCAGUGGCCAAGCGAAAGCGAUAAGUCAUCCACCUGGGGAGUACGUUCGCAAGAAUGCAACUCAAAUGAAUUGACGGA
rnacentral:rRNA from 1 species